rnacentral:rRNA from 1 species
UACAGAGGUCUCAAGCGUUUGUUCGGAUUUAUUGGGCGUAAAGGGUGCGCAGGCUGUAUGGUAAGUUUGGUGUGAAAUCCUGGAGCUUAACUCCAGAAUUGCACUGAAUACUGCCGUGCUAGAGGACUGGAGAGGAGAUUGGAAUUCACGGUGUAGCAGUGAAAUGCGUAGAUAUCGUGAGGAAGACCAGUGGCGAAGGCGAAUCUCUGGACAGUUCCUGACGCUCAUGCACGAAGGCCAGGGGAGCAAACGGG